UACGUAGGGGGCAAGCGUUAUCCGGAUUUACUGGGUGUAAAGGGGGCGCAGACGGCGAUGCAAGCCAGGAGUGAAUGCCCGGGGCCCAACCCCGGGACUGCUCUUGGAACUGCGUGGCUGGAGUGCAGGAGGGGCAGGCGGAAUUCCUGGUGUAGCGGUGAAAUGCGUAGAUAUCAGGAGGAACACCGGUGGCGAAGGCGGCCUGCUGGACUGCAACUGACGUUGAGGCCCGAAAGCGUGGGGAGCAAAUAGG
rnacentral:rRNA from 1 species